GUAUUCCAUUUCGCCCAUAAGGCAGACAAACAUCCAAUAUUUUAGACAAGAGUUUGUGUAUUUCGAGGACAGGUUUAAUCCUACCCUCAAAUCAAAGUGCACAGGUGUAAAUUGGACUAGGAGAGCGAGCACAUGCAGUCAAACUACCAGCAUCAACUCCCUGUAAUAAUUCAUUAAUGAUCCUUCCGCAGGUUCACCUACGGAAA
rnacentral:misc_RNA from 1 species